AAACAUGUCUGGGGGGUAUGUAUUUUUGGUUCGGCCUGCUCCAUGCUUAAGUAAAUAGCUGCAGUAUUAUGACUGUACAAAGGUAGCAUAAUCAUUAGUCUUUUAAUUGGAGGCUGGUAUGAACGGCUUAACGAGGAAUUUUCUUUUUUGUUUUUAUAUGAAUUUAAUAUUUGAGUAAAAAAUCUUAAAUGAAUUUAAGGGACGAGAAGACCCUAUAGAAUUUUACGCAAAUAAGAUAUGCGUUUAGUUGGGGUGAUGAAAACUUAACGUUUUAGAUUUUCAUUGAUGUUUGAUGAAAUGAUCUAUAUUUUGAUAAUUAGAUAAAAUUACCUUAGGGAUAACAGCAUAAUUUUUUUAGGAAGGCCAAAUUUAUAAAAGAGUUUAUGACCUCGAUGUUGAAUUAAAGUAUAUUAGGUGCAGCUGCUUAUAUU
rnacentral:rRNA from 1 species